AUCCUGGGAGGCCAGCAGCGGCGACACCAGCAGCAGCAGCAGCGCCGAGAGCGCCAGCGCGCAGCGCAUCGUGUCCUCGCCUCUGGGCCGGGAGCAGGUGGCUGCGGGGCCGGCGGAGGGUCCGCGCGUCCGGACGGGCCAUUCUGCUUCUCUGCCAACCGUCACUUGGGUCCCACUGGGCAUUGGCUGCAGGAGAACCUGAUUGGCUCAGGACAUCGAGUUCUUUGGGGGUCACGAGGAUCCCUCAGACGGUGAGAAAAAGCACAGAAGAUGACAACUCAUAAAUAAUCUUAGGGGAGAGGUUGGGAGUGAUAAGAAAUGGAGUACACAACCCGUAGAGGGCUGUUCCAGUUACCACAUGACAAUAUUAGGGGAGUCGCCUCCCUCUCUGCCAGUACCCGCCUGGUUGGUGAACUUGCCUCCAGCUCU